CGCCAGACUCCUACGGGAGGCAGCAGUGGGGAAUAUUGCACAAUGGGGGAAACCCUGAUGCAGCGACGCCGCGUGAGUGAAGAAGUAUUUCGGUAUGUAAAGCUCUAUCAGCAGGGAAGAAAAUGACGGUACCUGAUUAAGAAGCCCCGGCUAACUACGUGCCAGCAGCCGCGGUAAUACGUAGGGGGCAAGCGUUAUCCGGAUUUACUGGGUGUAAAGGGAGCGUAGACGGUGAUGCAAGUCAGAAGUGAAAGCCCGGGGCUCAACUCCGGGACUGCUUUUGAAACUGUGUGACUGGAGUGCAGGAGAGGUAAGCGGAAUUCCUGGUGUAGCGGUGAAAUGCGUAGAUAUCAGGAGGAACACCAGUGGCGAAGGCGGCUUACUGGACUGUAACUGACGUUGAGGCUCGAAAGCGUGGGGAGCAAACAGGAUUAGAUACCCUAGUA
rnacentral:rRNA from 1 species